CCGUACUAGAUGGGGAGGUAGCGGUGCCCUGUAACCCGCAAUCCGCUAUAGCGGGGUUGAAUUCCCCGGCAGCGGCCUUUUCUUUUUAGGGACCGGCUCGCAUAAGUGGCGAAGAGGAUUGGGUCCUGCGCAAUGGAAACUUGUGAACCCCGUCAGGUCCGGGAGGAAGCAGCGGUAAGCAAGACCUUCCAUGUGCCGCAGGGGUGCCUGGUCAGAGCUAACUGUGCGGGUAACGCCUGGGGAGAAAGGUCAAUCCGGGGUGUACGG
rnacentral:SRP_RNA from 1 species